rnacentral:rRNA from 1 species
GAUGAACGCUAGCGACAGGCCUAACACAUGCAAGUCGAGGGGCAUCGGGACGUAGCAAUACGUUGCCGGCGACCGGCGGAUGGGUGAGUAACGCGUAUGCAACCUACCCGCAGCAGGGGGAUAGCCCGUUGAAAGACGGAUUAAUACCCCGUAACACAGGGGCUCCGCAUGGAGAUUAUUGUUAAAGGGUCAUUUCUUUUUCAGGGAUGGUCCGGCUGCGGAUGGGCAUGCGUUCCAUUAGGUAGUUGGUGUAGGUAAUGGCUCACCAAGCCGACGAUGGAUAGGGGAACUGAGAGGUUGGUCCCCCAACUGGUACUGAGACACGGACCAGACUCCUACGGGAGGCAGCAGUGAGGAAUUUUGGCAAUGGACGCAAGUCUGAACCAGCCAUGUCGCGUGAAGGAGGACGGCCCUAAGGGUUUAAACUUCUUUUGCAGUGGAAUAAAGUUUGCCACGUGUUGGCGAUUUGCAAGUACGCUGCGAAUAAGGAUCGGCUAACUCCGUG